UGGCUGUAGCCAUAACAAAAGCAGUCUUUCUCUUCAGGAGCUAUAACUGGCCGGGUGUUAGUUUGAUAUCAUUGACAACUGCUUACCGAGCUUCUGACAGUA
rnacentral:snoRNA from 1 species